UUUUAGUAUAUUUAUUUAUAAAUUUAUUAGAAUUAAAUAAAGUAGAACUUAAUCUUAAAUCUAUUGAUAGAAAGUUACAAAAUAAAUUAAAAAAUUUACUUAAUGAUGGAUUGACUAGAAAAUUGGAAUGAAGUAGAAGAAGUACUAGUUAGCUAAUAGUAUUAUAGUAAAAGAGGCUAUGAAAUAUUGAGCAAGAAUAGAUAAUGAUUCCAAAUCUCAUAAAAAUUUAGAACUAAAAAGGUUGAAGUCAUGUACUGUAUUUAAUAUGCAAAAGAAAAAAAUAUCAUGAGAU
rnacentral:lncRNA from 1 species